rnacentral:rRNA from 1 species
GACGAACGCUGGCGGCGUGCUUAACACAUGCAAGUCGAACGGAAAGGCCCUUCGGGGUACUCGAGUGGCGAACGGGUGAGUAACACGUGGGUGAUCUGCCCUGCACUUUGGGAUAAGCCUGGGAAACUGGGUCUAAUACCGAAUAUGAUCAUGCUCUUCAUGGGGUGUGGUGGCAAGCUUUUGCGGUGUGGGAUGGGCCCGCGGCCUAUCGGCUUGUUGGUGGGGUAAUGGCCUACCAAGGCGACGACGGGUAGCCGGCCUGAGAGGGUGACCGGCCACACUGGGACUGAGAUACGGCCCAGACUCCUACGGGAGGCAGCAGUGGGGAAUAUUGCACAAUGGGCGCAAGCCUGAUGCAGCGACGCCGCGUGAGGGAUGACGGCCUUCGGGUUGUAAACCUCUUUCAGCACAGACGAAGCGCGAGUGACGGUAUGUGCAGAAGAAGGACCGGCCAACUACGUGCCAGCCGCCGCGGUAA